UGGGGAAUUUUGGACAAUGGGGGAAACCCUGAUCCAGCCAUCCCGCGUGUGCGAUGAAGGCCUUCGGGUUGUAAAGCACUUUUGGCAGGAAAGAAACGUCGCGGGUUAAUACCCCGCGAAACUGACGGUACCUGCAGAAUAAGCACCGGCUAACUACGUGCCAGCAGCCGCGGUAAUACGUAGGGUGCAAGCGUUAAUCGGAAUUACUGGGCGUAAGGCGUGCGCAGGCGGUUCGGAAAGAAAGAUGUGAAACCCCAGAGCUUAACUUUGGAACUGCAUUUUUAACUACCGGGCUAGAGUGUGUCAGAGGGAGGUGGAAUUCCGCGUGUAGCAGUGAAAUGCGUAGAUAUGCGGAGGAACACCGAUGGCGAAGGCAGCCUCCUGGGAUAACACUGACGCUCAUGCACGAAAGCGUGGGGAGCAAACAGGAUUAGAUACCCUGGUAGUCCACGCCCUAAACGAUGUCAACUAGCUGUUGGGGCCUUCGGGCCUUGGUAGCGCAGCUAACGCGUGAAGUUGACCGCCUGGGGAGUACGGUC
rnacentral:rRNA from 1 species